rnacentral:rRNA from 1 species
AGCUCCAAUAGCGUAUAUUAAAGUUGUUGCAGUUAAAACGCUCGUAGUCGAAUUUCGGGCCUGGUUUUCUGGUAGGUCUCAAGAUCUCACUGGAGAAGCAGGCUCUUUUUUCUGGGCUUGCAUGUUCGCAUGUUAAUCCAGAUUAUUUACUUUGAGGAAAUUAGAGUGUUCAAAGCAGGCAUUUGCUUGAAUAUCACAGCAUGGAAUAAUAGAAUAAGACUUUGGUUUUAUUUUGUUGGUUUUGAAAACCAAAGUAAUGAUGAAUAGGGGCAGUCGUGGGCAUUAGUAUUUUGAAGUCAGAGGUGAAAUUCUUGGAUUUUCAAAAGACUAACUAAAGCGAAAGCAUUUGCCAAGGAUGUUUUCAUUG